rnacentral:rRNA from 1 species
AUUGAACGCUGGCGGCGUGCCUAAUACAUGCAAGUCGAACGAAGUGGCGCACGGGUGUGUAAUAUAUAGUUAAUCUUCCCUACACAGAGGAACAACAGUUGGAAACGACUGCUAAUACCUCAUAGUGUAGGCUGAGACUAUAUCGUAUCAGCUAGUUGGUAAGGUAAUGGCUUACCAAGGCUAUGACGCGUAACUGGUCUGAGAGGAUGAUGAGUGAAAUUGGAAGUGAGGCACGGGCGAGAAACCUAGGAGAGGGAGCAGAAAGGAGAAGUGCGCAAUGGGGGAGAAGGAGACGGAGCAGCGGGGGGUGGAGGAUGACACUUUUCGGAGAAUAAAAUAAUUUUAACAGGAAAGCGGUACCUGAAGAAUAAGCACCGGCUAACUCCGUGCCAGCAGCCGCGGUAAUAC